rnacentral:lncRNA from 1 species
CACUACUCAUGCUGUAAAAUUUUAGAGUAAAUCAUACAAAUUGAUAAUUAUGAGAACAAUUAUUUGAAAUAUCAAAUAUUUUAUACAAUAUGUGUGUAAAUAUAAUGUAAAUUAUAAUGAGAGUCUUGAUUUCCUUAAAUUUCUUGGUUUCUUACGUGAAAAGACAGAAUGCAAAAAGGAAACUGUAUUUUAAGAAAAUUACUGAAGCAAAAAUUAGUUUCAACACUACAGUAGUAUUUUCUAAUAAUUUCUAUCUAAAAUGUUUUCUUUAAAAAAAUAAAAAAAAUUUAAAAUAUUUUCUUUAAUGUUAUAGUUAUGCAGAAAAGAUGACGAAAAGUAAAAUAGGGGGUAGCCCAGGUGGCUCAGCGGUUUAGCGCUGCCUUCGGCCCAGGGCGUGAUCUUGGAGUCCUGGGAUCGAGUCCCAUGUCGGGCUCCCUGCAUGGAGCCUGCUUCUCCCUCUGCCUCUCUCUCUCUCUGUCUGUCUCUCAUGAAUAAAUAAAUAAAAUCUUAGAAAAAAACUAAAAUAGGAAACAUCCUAAUACAGUCAUACAAAUAUGUUAGAAACAUCCUGAUAUGAGAUAUGAGGAACAGGGUAAUAAUUCUGAGGAAAGAUUCAGAUUAACAAUAAUUUCAGUGUUGUGUGUUUUAGCAUUUAACCUGAUUCUACUGAAUUGAAUCCUUCCUAUUACUGGUUUAGUUGAUUAGUUAUUUGACUGUGAUACGACCAAUGACAGUAUCAAGAAGAAUGGCAAGAGUUUGAAACAGCAAUAAGAAAAUAAAUGCACCAAAUAGGUACACUCAUAUAUCACUAUGAUCACAUAAAUGAGGUCAUUUUCAAAGAGGUAUUUGGUAGUUUUUUAUUUCCUCCUUUAUUUUUUUUUAUCAUUGAAACAGCAUUUUCCAAGAUUCCAUUAAUUGAAAUCACUGAAAAUACAGUGAUUGAUAGGCUUUAGUUCAGUUAAAAUUGCAUGCAGAGUUUACCAACAGUUAUACUAUUGACCUCCAAAGACAGGGAAUGAUUCAUCAUCUUUGUUCCCCACCUAAAACACUAUUUCUACUCCUUGACUUAUUUUCUUGUUGACUCUUUCUCCAUAAAUCUGACUAGUAACAAGAUUUAUUUGACAUUCCCUAGUAGAUCAUUACUUUGUACACUAAUAAACUCUUGUACUGUCAAAGAUUGGUGGUGAUUAUUUUAGGAAGUAAUCAACUUGGUUUUAGUAUGUUCUGAAUAUACAAAACAGAUGGGAGAAAAUUAAAUGUUACUAUUUGUAAAACUUCCAUUAAGGAGGAAAAUCAACUAAAACAACACAGGGGAAUGAACUGCUACUCAAUACAUAUGGUUACCUAUAAACAAGCUGUGACAUGUUACUAUAUUUAUGUAAAAAUAAUCAAAGGAAUAAUGUUAAUUAUAAGUGGCCACACAACAGAAAAUGUACAAAUACUAACAUUUCCAUAUAUUCCUAAAAUGGAAAAUACUUAAAAAUAGAUUAAUAUACUUAGCAGUUUACCAUUUUACUAAAGAUCUUGAAAGUAGCCUUUUCAUUUUGUUUAAAUAUAACACCUCGGAGUGAGUUAAGUGCCCUAGAUGCCCCAUUUUUGCCUACUCUCUCAACUCUAUAAUUAAACAAGUGCCAUACAUAAUUAAAUUUUUCUAAGACUAGAAUUGAAGUCAUUAAGUUACCAAUGAAAAGAUUAUACAGAUUCUUAAGCUGUAUAUUAAAAGUCAAGAAUCACUUUUGAACAUUCUAAGAGGAGAAAGGCACUCAAAGACUGUAGGAUUUUACUUGAUAUUCAUAUUUUUAGUGCCUUCAAUUAUCUAUUGACUAAAUAAUAUUUCUUAUUUAUUAUAUGAGAAAAGACGUAGGUCUCUUCAAAUUCUAUAGAUUUAGAUGUGAGUCUUUCUAUGAAAAAAACUGUAACGAAUGCUCCACAUUUAUUAAUUUUCCCCUUUCAGAUGUGUUUAUUAAGUAACAUUUUUGGUGCAUAGAAUAGGACUUAAGAUAUUGCUUCAUUUCAUUUCUUUUUUUCAGGGAUGUGUUAUUUGCUUAUGGUCCCAGUCCUAGUAAACUAAUAUAUCUUUGUUUAUAGAUGAACUAGUAUAAGAAAUAUACAACAUCUAGUCAAGUGCAGGUGUUCAUAAAAUGUCUUAUUUGGCCUUCCAAUCCACAUCUAAGAUUUCAAAGACAGGAUUUGUUUUACUAUACUGCAUUGUUACCCUUCUUCAUCUCCUUCUUUCCUUUUUUUUUAUUUAUUUAUUCAUGAUAGAGAGAGAGAGAGAGACAGAGACAGAGACAGAGACACAGGCAGAGGGAGAAGCAGACUCCAUGCCAGGAGCCCGACGCGGGACUCGAUCCCAGGACUCCAGGAUCGCGCCCUGGGCCGAAGGCAGGCGCUAAACCGCUGAGCCACCCAGGGAUCCCCCUUUCCUAAUAAAUAUCACUAUUACAACUUGAUACUUUUUGUGCAUUAAUGAGAAUGGCAAGCAUAGAAGAUUCAAUUUCAAUUCAACCUACAUUGCCUUCCUCUUCCUGCAUUACAGGCAAAGGAGCUAAGUCAUAUGUGGUGAGACAAUCACUGAGACAUUAAUUUAUGAUCUCUUCCUAAUGCUGUUGGUGUAUGUAACGAAUAAGAUGUGAUCUUAAACCUGCUUUCCUCAAUGGCCUAUUAAUGUCCUUAAUAUACUUUAAUAUCUUAAUGAAACACAAAGUUAGGAUAUAAUUUGUAAAAGCAGAAGGGAGGGUGUCUAGAUGGUGUCCAGUAGGCACCAGGAAGAAGAUCAAGUUUCUGUGGGCCACACUCGCUCAUGAGUUUCUGGGGAUGACUGUGCGGUGCUGCCUGCUGCUGGGCUGUGCUCAGGGAGCUCUAGAAGUCAGCCCUGAAAAGAUUACUGGAUUUAAACCAGGGAAAAAUGCAGCAGUGAAGCCAUCUUCAAAGUAGCCUGGAUCAACGACCGUUAUCACUCGGAUCUGUGUGAUAGGAUAAAGGAAAAUCUCCCCUUCAGGGUUGUAAUUAGGAUUCUAAGGAAGACAGUCUUCCCACUUUGUCCAAUUUUUCAAUUGAAAGUGGAUUUCAUCCAAGCCUGGAGAAUAGGUGCAUUGAGCAGCUUAAACUGGGUUUCAAGAAAUACACAAAGUAAAAAAAAAAAAAAAAAAAAAAAA